rnacentral:misc_RNA from 1 species
CAACCCAGCCCAUUUCUCCUAACCUAAAACAGGGAUGUCCUCCUUUGUCACACAACGUCCUUCUCCAGCCGUCACGAACGUGCCCCAGCCAUCACGGACCGCGAGUUUGCUCCGUCCUCCGGCAUCCUUGGGCUUCGCUGCCUCCCUCCCCUCCUCCCUGCGUUGCUCCCUACUUGAGGCCGCACUCGGCGCUCACGCCGCAACCUCCCUAUGUUGGCCAUGCUCGCUUCUUGUCCUGCUCAGGCUCGGCGCUGCCGUUACCUCCCUGUGCUGCUCGGCGCUCGCCGCCUCCGCUCCGUAUCUGGCUAUCUACCCUGCUCAGCACUCGUGCUCGCCACUCCAGUGCUCCAGCUUGUUGUCCCUUCUCGCUGUCCCAUUGCUGCUCAUGCUCGCCACUGCCUCCCUUUGCUGCUCCUGCCCCUGCCCCUGCUCUCAUCCUUCUCCCCUUCCCUACUGAUUUGCUCACAUUCUCCUCUGAUUUUGGUUAUGAUGAUGAAGCAACAAACAAUAGUGCUGGCUAUGGUGAUGAACAAGACAAAGACAAGAAUGAUGGUGGUAUAGAUGAUUUGGAUGAUGGUUAUUGAGAUAUGAUAGAGGGAGAUUGAGACGCUUGUGUGC